UACGAAGGGGGCUAGCGUUGCUCGGAAUCACUGGGCGUAAAGGGUGCGUAGGCGGGUCUUUAAGUCAGGGGUGAAAUCCUGGAGCUCAACUCCAGAACUGCCUUUGAUACUGGCGAUCUCGAGUCCGGGAGAGGUGAGUGGAACUGCGAGUGUAGAGGUGAAAUUCGUAGAUAUUCGCAAGAACACCAGUGGCGAAGGCGGCUCACUGGUCCGGUUCUGACGCUGAGGCGCGAAAGCGUGGGGAGCAAACAGG
rnacentral:rRNA from 1 species